UUAUUUUUUUUUUUUUUCAUUUUUAUAAUUUAGUUUGAAAACAAAUUUUAAGAAAAUAAAAAUUUACAGGAUAUAUAAUGCAUUAUCUAAGUAUUCUGUGCAAGCGCGCGAAAAUUUAUGAGAACUGAGUGGUAAUGGUAAUAGUAGUGACAAAACGUUUUGUAGCGGUUGGUCUCUUUGGGUGGGGAAAAUCAAUAGGAAAACCAAGUUUAAAUUAUAAGUAUAGAUCAUUAAUAUUUAAUGAAUCUUAUAUUAAUAUUUUUUUAAUAUUGUAUUAUAUAUGCGAAUGUGCCUGUUUGUGAAAUCUUUACAAUGAUGCUUUCAAAAUGUGGCGUCUCGUGAUGUGUAUGGAAAUUUGAUUGAAUGUAGUGUGUACUCAGUUAUCAUUAACAGCUGUGUUCAAUAAAAGGAAAAUGUUUAGAAACUAUUUAAUUGAUGCUUCUUGACAUCUAAUUUGAAGAACGAAAUAUCAAUUUACGCUUAAUAAUGUUGAUACUUCGAGAAAUUUUCUUGACUUAUUUCAUAUUGUGUACAUUAUUACAAAUUAAUUAUGUUAAAAGUACACAUAUUUCCGGUACUUUUAAUACAAAAGAAUUUUUUCGUUUUCUCAUAAAAUUUGGUUUUCAAAAGACUGAUCGUCAUCGACAAAAAGAUUCAUAUGGAUACAUUUUUGGUAAUAUAACAUCAAAAAGUGAUUUUACUAUACCAAUUACAUUGGCAGUUUUGGAUCGUGGUCAUUUUUUAGAAUAUUAUGGUAAUCGUACAUUAAAGGAUAAAAACACUGCUUGUACUCUUAUGUUUAAUACCUUAAAUCAAAGUUCUUAUGAUGUACAUUGUAAUGAAGAAGGACAAGAUUUUUUGAGGAGAGUACCUUGUCCAAGAAAUAAACUAUGUCCAGAUGAAGAUUCCAUAUGGAAUAUUGUAAAAGGAUACCAAUUCACAUAUGUCAUACAGGAUUUUUGGCAACCACGUUUUUGGUAUAUGAGUCUAGUAGCUUGUUAUAGAAAUACAUCUACUUGUCAAUGGGAAUAUUAUGAUAAACAUGAUGAAUUAGAAUAUGAUAUUUGGCUAGUAAAUGGAAAUCCAAAUACUAGUGGCCUAAAUAGUUUAACAUACCAAUUUUCGUAUGAUAGACAAAAUACCAUAGAAUUAUAUUUGUUGUUUUUUAUGUGUUACAUUAUAUUGGUACCAUUACAAUUAUAUGCUGUAAGAUUACAAAAACAUCCUGUAACAAGAUUAUUCACUGCUAGUUUAUUAUUAGAGUUUGUAGCAGUAUGUUUGAUUUUGAUACAUGUAUUGAAAUUUGCUCUUGAUGGAGUUGGAUAUGAACAAUUAGAAGUUGCUGGAGAUAUUUUUGAUAUUCUAUCAAGAACAUCAUUCAUGUUACUUCUUCUUCUACUUGCUAAAGGAUGGGCUGUAACUAGAAUGGAAUUGACAUGGAAGCCAUUAGUUUUUACUAUAUGGCUUUGUUAUGGAGUAGUUCAUAUUCUAUUAUAUGUAUGGAAUAUGACUGAAGUUGAUAUUAUUGAAGAUAUUGAUGAAUAUCAAACAUGGCCAGGCUGGUUUAUACUUCUGUUUCGCAGUGCAAUAAUGAUUUGGUUUUUAUGUGAACUUAGAAAUACUAUGACAUAUGAACAUAAUACUCAGAAGUUAAAUUUUUUACUUCAUUUUGGUGCAUCUUCAUUAGUUUGGUUUAUUUAUUUACCUAUUAUAGCACUUAUUGCUCUUCAAGUAAGCGCAUUGUGGAGGUUUAAACUUUUAUUGGGUAUUACAUAUUCUGCUGAUUGUUUUGCAUAUUGCGUAAUGGCACAUUUACUUUGGCCAACACGAAGUGAACAAUAUUUUUUACUUGCACAAGGAGCUGAUAAUGGAGAUGAACUUGAUGAAUUCAAUGAAGCACCACAUGUACUGAAUAAUUAUGUGGAACCUCCAGAACUUACUAAAAUAAUUACUUAAUGUCAAAAUAUCAAAGGCAAAAUUUUGCAUAAAAAGUCAAACAUAAAGUUUGAAAUAUAUUGUUUGCCAAAUAAAAAUUUUAUAGGGUUGAUAAUACUCUGCUAUGCAUUACUUGAGACUGAUAUAUUCUGCACACUGUGUAAUUAGAGAUAUACUAAUAAUCAAAUUUACAUUUGUGAUAGGAAGUCAAUAAUUGACACAAUAAGGAAUAAAAUGGAAUGUACAAAUCUUUAUGCUAUUUUUGAAGUAUUGCUAAAAGUUUAUAGAUUAAUGUAUGUGAAUCAGCUUUGAAAACACUUAAUAUUCUUAUAUACUGGAAAAGUUUUAAAAAUAAAAGGCAAAUGUGAAAAUUGAUCAACUUAAAUCUGCAUGCAAGAUUAUAUAUUGUUAUUAUUAUGAAGAAGGUAACUAAAAAUAACUAAAUAUAUUAAUAACAUAUUAAU